rnacentral:rRNA from 1 species
AUUGAACGCUGGCGGCAUGCCUUACACAUGCAAGUCGAACGGCAGCGGACCUUCGGGUGCCGGCGAGUGGCGAACGGGUGAGUAAUGCAUCGGAACGUGCCAUUGAGUGGGGGAUAACGUAGCGAAAGUUGCGCUAAUACCGCAUAUUCUGUGAGCAGGAAAGCAGGGGGACCGCAAGGCCUUGCGCUCUUUGAGCGGCCGAUGUCAGAUUAGCUAGUUGGUGAGGUAACGGCUUACCAAGGCGACGAUCUGUAGCGGGUCUGAGAGGAUGAUCCGCCACACUGGAACUGAGACACGGUCCAGACUCCUACGGGAGGCAGCAGUGGGGAAUUUUGGACAAUGGGGGCGAACCCUGAUCCAGCCAUGCCGCGUGAGUGAAGAAGGCC